rnacentral:rRNA from 1 species
GCAGCAGCCGCGGUAAUACAGAGGGUGCGAGCGUUAAUCGGAUUUACUGGGCGUAAAGCGUGCGUAGGCGGCUUUUUAAGUCGGAUGUGAAAUCCCUGAGCUUAACUUAGGAAUUGCAUUCGAUACUGGGAAGCUAGAGUAUGGGAGAGGAUGGUAGAAUUCCAGGUGUAGCGGUGAAAUGCGUAGAGAUCUGGAGGAAUACCGAUGGCGAAGGCAGCCAUCUGGCCUAAUACUGACGCUGAGGUACGAAAGCAUGGGGAGCAAACAGGAUUAGAUACCCGCGUAGUCCCUGUCUCUUAUAC